GACAAUUCCCCUUCUACGCAGCCGGCUAUGCCGCACAUCGCUGGUGAUGAUGAUGGUGGUGGUGUCGCCUGUGGAUUUAAUGUCGGCGGCAUAGAUCGGAAGACGGGAGGACGGCGUAACGAAGACGGUUACUAGGCUGUGGUGGUGAAAACAGACAGCCAUGUCCAGAUUAUGUCUCCGGCGCAGAAAGAAACCAGAGGAGAGUAACAUAACCGGUUGUAGUUGCCCACCAGGUUUUUGUGUAGAUGACCGUACUGGUGAAGAUAUCAACGAGUGCAAGGAAGUAUAGCAUGUCGAUGUCACGGGUGUACGUGUAAAGACACUUAUGAUGGACAUGAAUGCAAAUGCAAGGACAAACUGUAUACAACCGAUCGUCAUUUUUGGGUAAAUUUAGUGGAUCUGAACAUCGGUUGAUGCGUUUAA